AAUAAAAAGGCAAUUUCUACAAGUGAACCCUUAUUGGAAAGAUUAUUUGGUAGAAUUGGUCUGGUCAUUUCCAACAUACGUUUAUUAGAUAAUAACAGAUAGGCGGAUCAUAUAAGAUAGAGUUGUCAAAUCGGGGUGUCCAUGUCCAUUAGCCCAAUCCAAUAAUGUCUAUUUUGAUAUUGGACGAACAUAGUCCGUAUCCAUUAACACCUUUGUCCAAUCCAAUAAUGUCCAUUUUAAUAUUCGAUUUUUCCUCAAAUCGAUUUAACCUAACAUUAUAAGACUAUUGGGCCGCCCAUGUCCAUCAUAUCUACUCUGCUAAAGUUCAUAUCCGUUAACGACUAUAACCAUUAAAGCCCGUUUUAUAAUGGCUUUAUCCAUGACUCGGUCCAUUAAGUAUUGGACGCAGGCAGCCCACGGGCCGCACACCCAUUUUGACAACUCUAAUAUAAGAUAAGUGUCCGUUGGUGUCAAUUAUUUUUGUUAAAUUAAUAGCUGAAUUUGUCGAAAAAAUUAUAUAGGAAAUGGUGUUAAAUGAAUUCC
rnacentral:sRNA from 1 species